AUGAAGGGAGACUACCAGCAGAGCGGCCGCAAGCGCACCACUGAGACCCACGACCACGCCAUCUGCGGCUCGUCCGCCGCUUCCCGCCGCAUGGCCUACUUGACCGAGCCCGCUACGUUCGUCUCCGCCGGCAUGGGCCACGGGCAGGGGAUCGCCGAACGGGUCAGGGUCCGCGAGCUUGAUAUGGCCGGGCGCCGCCGUCUGGCCUCUGUUGUUGUUACAGAUCCGGGCGCGGGGCUGCCCCCAGGGUACCUGGAGCACAACAAGGCUGGGGCCAAGAUGAUGGCUGCGAUGGGGUACAAGGUCGGCAUGGGCCUCGGCAAGUACCAGGAUGGGAUCCGCAUGCCGCUGGCGCUCCCUCGUAGAGCUUGGCUCGGCAGCAUCCAGGACCCCAUGCCCUCCUCUGCUACGGACAACCUGCCAAAUCCAUGA
rnacentral:rRNA from 1 species